GUCUGGAUGUGCACUGCUGAAUAAUCAGACUGGGUUUUGUGAGAUUCACCUAAAGGGAUCAUUCAAAGACUGCAAUAAACCAAAUUGGGUCAUUUUAAAUCCACAAUUUUGAUGGUUCUGGAUGUUUAUCAAGCGCUUCUGUGGUUUGGGCUGAGCAGGCAAGUCCUCCAUCUCUUCACGAAUCUCCUCCUCUAUCUCCUGCUCCAGCUGAAUGAGGACUGGUGAAG